GACGGAGGGUGCGAGCGUUGUUCGGAAUUACUGGGCGUAAAGCGCGGGCAGGUGGUCCUUUAAGUCCUUUGUGAAAUCCCGGGGCUCAACCCCGGAUGUGCAUAGGAUACUGGAGGACUGGAGACUGGUAGAGGCGAGCGGAAUUCCUGGUGUAGCGGUGGAAUGCGUAGAUAUCGGAAGGAAUAUCAGUGGCGAAGGCGACUUUCUGGACAGAUACUGACACUGAGGCACGAAAGCGUGGGGAGCAAACAGG
rnacentral:rRNA from 1 species